GUUUUAAUAAUUUAAAUAUAAAAUAUUGGUCUUGUAAACCAAAAAUGAAUUUUCUUAAAACU
rnacentral:tRNA from 1 species